rnacentral:rRNA from 1 species
GGGUGAGUAACGCGUGGGUAACCUGCCUCACACAGGGGGAUAACAGUUGGAAACGACCGCUAAUACCGCAUAACCCGCCGGUGCCGCAUGGCACUGACGGAAAAGAUUUAUCGGUGUGAGAUGGACCCGCGUCUGAUUAGCCAGUUGGCAGGGUAACGGCCUACCAAAGCGACGAUCAGUAGCCGGCCUGAGAGGGUGAACGGCCACAUUGGGACUGAGACACGGCCCAAACUCCUACGGGAGGCAGCAGUGGGGAAUAUUGCACAAUGGGGGAAACCCUGAUGCAGCGACGCCGCGUGAGUGAAGAAGUAUUUCGGUAUGUAAAGCUCUAUCAGCAGGGAAGAAAAUGACGGUACCUGACCAAGAAGCCCCGGCUAACUACGUGCCGGCAGCCGCGGUAAUACGUAGGGGGCAAGCGUUAUCCGGAUUUACUGGGUGUAAAGGGAGCGUAGACGGCUGAGCAAGUCAGAAGUGAAAGCCCGGGGCUCAACCCCGGGACUGCUUUUGAAACUGCGGAGCUGGAGUGCAGGAGAGGUAAGCGGAAUUCCUGGUGUAGCGGUGAAAUGCGUAGAUAUCAGGAGGAACACCAGUGGCGAAGGCGGCUUACUGGACUGUAACUGACGUUGAGGCUCGAAAGCGUGGGGAGCAAACAGGAUUAGAUACCCUGGUAGUCCACGCCGUAA